rnacentral:rRNA from 1 species
AUUGAACGCUGGCGGCAGGCCUAACACAUGCAAGUCGAGCGGAGCGGCGGAGGCGUGAGUAAUGCUUAGGAAUCGGCCUGUUAGUGGGGGAUAGCGUUCGGAAACGGGCGCUGAUACCGCUUCCUCUCAGCUGAGCCUAGGUCGGAUUGGCUAGUGGGGGGGGUAAGGGCCUACGAAGGCGACGAUCCGUAACUGGUCUGAGAGGAUGAUCAGUCACACUGGAACGGAGACACGGUCCAGACUCCGACGGGAGGCAGCAGUGGGGAAUAUUGGACAAUGGGCGAAAGCCUGAUCCAGCCAUGCCGCGUGUGUGAAGAAGGUCUUCGGAUUGUAAAGCACUUUAAGUUGGGAGGCGUUACCAACAGAAUAAGCACCGGCUAACUCCGUGCCAGCAGCCGCGGUAAUUC